UACGUAUGGGGCAAGCGUUAUCCGGAUUUACUGGGUGUAAAGGGAGCGUAGGCGGCAGGGCAAGCCUGAUGUGAAAGCCCGGGGCUCAACCCCGGGACUGCAUUGGGAACUGCCCCGCUCGAGUGCCGGAGGGGCAGGCGGAAUUCCUAGUGUAGCGGUGAAAUGCGUAGAUAUUAGGAGGAACACCAGUGGCGAAGGCGGCCUGCUGGACGGUGUACUGACGCUGAGGCUCGAAAGCGUGGGGAGCAAAC
rnacentral:rRNA from 1 species